UGGGGGAUAUUGCGCAAUGGGGGAAACCCUGACGCAGCAACGCCGCGUGAAGGAAGAAGGCCUUCGGGUUGUAAACUUCUUUAAGUGUGGAAGAUAAUGACGGUACACACAGAAUAAGCCACGGCUAACUACGUGCCAGCAGCCGCGGUAACACGUAGGUGGCGAGCGUUGUCCGGAUUUACUGGGUGUAAAGCGCACGUAGGCUGUUUGUCAAGUCAGAGGUGAAAUCCCACGGCCCAACCGUGGAACUGCCUUUGAAACUGGCAGACUUGAGUGUCGGAGAGGGUGGCGGAAUUCCAGGUGUAGGAGUGAAAUCCGUAGAUAUCUGGAGGAACACCGGUGGCGAAGGCGGCCACCUGGACGAUAACUGACGCUGAGGUGCGAAAGCGUGGGUAGCAAACA
rnacentral:rRNA from 1 species